GCGCUAGUAGUCUAGUGGUAUGAUUCCACCUUGCCAAGGUGGAGGCGCGGGUUCAAUUCCCGCCUGGCGCA
rnacentral:tRNA from 1 species